rfam:Cajanus cajan CcLG10_247, whole genome shotgun sequence.
GUGACAGACGAGAGUGAGCACACAUGGUACUUUCUUGGAUGAUAAUGUUUCAUGCUUGAAAUUAUGUGUGCUCACUCUCUAUCUGUCAC